rnacentral:tmRNA from 1 species
GCACUUGCGUAUCGCACGGUAAUCGCCUAUAUUUGACCUGCUUCUUCGGAAGCUAUGGUGAUAAACGCGACGUGGAAUAGUCGGAUUGGACCCGGGGGCAGUACCCGGCAGGUCCACCAGAAUUUGAAUGCUUCUCGAUAAGCCGGGCAGCAAGGUCAGCAGACCUUGCCAGCCAUGAGCCCGCGAAGCGGCAUUCCAUGGUGAAUCCAGCAGGAUGAGCCGGGAAUGAACAAAGUUUGGGCCUGAAGUAGGAUCGACAACCGCAAUAAAGGCUUCGCUUUUGCCCGGGAUGAUUCCGCCGUUAUCGGGUUGUUUUUUAAGUGCAAACGACAACGUAGCACUCGUUGCAGCUAACGACAACAACGUCGUAGCAGCCCGUCUCGCCGCUUAGUGUGGCCUGACGAGUUCUAGCUCGUAAACGCGGCCCGAGGGGAGCCGGGCAACAGAAUCCCCUCACU